CGAUCACAUUUGCAUGUGCCCAUAUCUCUGUCUCCCAUAACAUCGUUUUACCGUUUAAUAGACAUAUAUAUAUAUAUAUAUAAUUAACACAGUGACAUACAGCAAUACUAACAGGAGGGCGGACUGCACACAUAAACACUUUUUGCAAUUCACGGCCAAUGUGCCAUAAUAAGAUAUCCCUAUCGACAGUUGACAUUUUACCAUCUUCGCGAUCACUACUUUUGCCUAAUAAUUAACUUAACUUCGCUACCCCGUAUAUUAUAGUGUGUGUGUGUGUCGCCGUCAGCUCCCUGUUGGAUUAAUCAUCUCUAGGUGUCCAGCAGGUUGUAUUAUCCAUUUAAUAUUUCAAUUGCUUAAUAAAUAUUUAUUUAUAUCGUUGUUAA